rfam:Tropicibacter multivorans strain CECT 7557 genome assembly, contig: 0037
GAUCAAGCGCGAGAAGGGCGUUUGGUGGAUGCCUUGGCAGUAAGAGGCGAUGAAGGACGUGAUACUCUGCGAUAAGCUUUGGGGAGCCGAGAAUAGGCUUUGAUCCAAGGAUUUCCGAAUGGGGCAACCCACUUGAAAGUUUGAUAUAAUUGCUUCUGGC